UGUGGAUAUUUGGAUGAAAUAGAGAACCCAAGUCAGUGAUGCUCUCAUCAUAUGCAUGACAGUCAUCUGCAGUGGAACAUUUUGGAUCCUAGGGCUGCCAUACCUGAAAAGGUAUUCCCAAAAAGCUACGUCAAAAUUUGCAUCUAGGAGGCUGACCAAUAAUGUACAUUUUAACUCACUGUGUCAAAUAAAACUUUGUGCCAUAUGGCUGAUUAGAGAUAUUCUUUCAAUUUUUCUUCUUUUCUAAACAGCUGGGCGAGUAACAACAAGGAAAAGACAGUUAGCAGCUGCACACUGUUAUCAUUACUUUGAUACUGCUUAAAGGAAUCUAAACCUUCCACAGACCUUUCGUUGAACAGAG